AGGCUCCAAAUGUGACUCAUUGUGUGUUUGCUGUACCCUGGGAAGGAAUGGUGGCAAGAAUGAGGAAAAGAUAGACGAAAGACAAAUAACUGGGUCAGGUGGAAGCAACCUCUUUACAUGAUGGAUAUAUAUAUAUGUGUGUGUGUAUAUAUAUAUAUAUCACCUUAAACUCACUUUACAAAUUGGGGACAACAUCUACUGGAAAAACAAAGAAUCAUUAGAGAAAUAACAUUUAGGCAUUCUUUAUCACCUUUACUUUCACAGUGAUCCGGAUAAAUAAAUAAAGGACCAGCUCCUAGUUAUGAUACAUCAGGUAAAAUGUGGCUGUUCCCGACACUCCUGGUAAUGCUGUCAUCUCGUGAGACUUUUCCCUUCAGUUGAAAUUCUCCGAGUGGGAGGAACCAAGCCUAGGAGCAAGUACAACAAAUCAACAGAACAGCCUGGUUCACAAGUCGUGGGAAAUCCUUCACGUCCUUCCCUCAGCCGGUUCUGCCGGGAAGGGGAGCCCCGCUUGUGAAAGCCCAGGUCGGGUGAGAAGAUACAAAGAGGGA